AAACCCUAAUCUCCUUCGCCUCCAUCGUUCGUUCUUUCAUCAUCAGUCAUCGAUAUCAAAUCACCAUUCUUUUGUAAACCCUAACCUUCCUUCCCCUUCAUCAUGAAUCAUCAUUCUCUUCUCUAAUGGUUAAACAAACCAGACUGGGUUUCCAUUUCGUCAUUGCAAUCCGAUUUCAAAUCUCAGAAACCCUAUGCAAUCCGAAGAUAUCUUUAGGAUUGUUUUCGAAGCCCUAGAUAUCGCAUACAUCUUCCUUCUCGAUGAAGCCUCUUAAAUCUGAACAUUCAAGCAUCAGUCUAGGGUUCCGGUGGUAGAACUCAAGCAGAUCGGUGGAUAUAAAGACGAGUUCCCAGGUGUAGAUGGUGGUUGUGGCAGGUCCCGACAAACAGAGUUGCAGAUCUAGGGUUUAACUUUCAUGUGUGGAUUUUUUAACUCUAAAGUUGCUUCUGAGGUUUGUUUGUAACUUUUUUUCAUUUGAGAAAUUUAUAUUUGGGUUUGUUGUUGUUAGCUGGCUGGAUUGUGUAUUUCUGUUGUUCUAGAUUCUAACAUCAUGAUGAUUGUUUGUUUGUUUAUUUAUUAAAAAAACUGUUCUAAUGAAUUUAAUUGAUGGAUGAUGGAGAAAUGUGGUGAUAAUAUAUUGUGUUCCUAAAAGAAUAUUGGGCUUUGAUUUGUAUGAUUGUUGUUGUAGACUCUUGUAAACAGAAUUGGUCUUGCUGAUAAACUGUUGGGGCAUGAAGGGUGCACAAACACAGUUGCUUUUGUAAGAAAAAUGGUUUUUUUUGUAUAAAACCUCAAAACCGAACCAUCAAACCAUGAAAACCGGCCGGUUCGGUUUGUAUUUUGCUGCAAAGAGGUUUCGGCGCAUUAUCAUUAUAUAAUUUCUCUAAAUGAUGAUGAUAUAUCAAAAGGCAACAGUGGUUACAUAGGAAAGUUGAGGCAAGUUAGUUAUGAAUGACUGAAUGAAUUAGUUUUGUUUUAGCAGUAAUCUUUUAUUGAAAAAUCAUAUGUUUGUUAUGACAGAUACAAUUUUAUUGGGAGCAAGUUUAGAGCUUAUGUUUUAGCAACGAUAUGUCAUUCCUCGAGGAUGGGGAGCGUCAAACGUGUAUCACCUAAAUCCCUGCUGGAAAUUAUCCAUUUUCCAACAUUUCAUAUGAAGUAAAUAACCCGGGAACCAGGUUAAUAAUAGUAUGUCACGUCUAUACCAAAAGAAAGUUAUGUUGACUAUCUUGAACAAAUUCAACAAUUGCUGAAGGUUAGAUUUUGUUUAAUCUUACUUGUACUGGAAAUAACUUUGUGAAUUUGUCUUUAUUGUUGAGAAUUUUGGUGUUCUACACGUCAAUUUGGCUACAGUUACAAGUUUGACAUUUCUUUGAUACCCUGAUCUGAGUGUUAUACUAGUGCUUCACCAAUCAGGCUGUAAUAUAACCACCUGUCAGCUACUGGUUCAAUCAUGUAGAUAUCUUUUAUGAUGUAAAUGUUACUGUUAAUUACAUCAGUUUGUAGGUUGAAUUCAAGGUUCCAAAGUUGAGGUGGGAUC